rnacentral:rRNA from 1 species
GGAUUGUAAACUUCUUUUAUAUGGGAAUAAAGUGCACCACGUGUGGUGUUUUGUAUGUACCAUAUGAAUAAGGAUCGGCUAACUCCGUGCCAGCAGCCGCGGUAACACGGAGGAUCCGAGCGUUAUCCGGAUUUAUUGGGUUUAAAGGGAGCGUAGGCGGAUUGUUAAGUCAGUUGUGAAAGUUUGCGGCUCAACCGUAAAAUUGCAGUUGAUACUGGCAGUCUUGAGUGCAGUAGAGGUAAGCGGAAUUCGUGGUGUAGCGGUGAAAUGCUUAGAUAUCACGAAGAACUCCAAUUGCGAAGGCAGCUUGCUGGACUGUAACUGACGCUGAUGCUCGAAAGUGUGGGUAUCAAACAGGAUUAGAUACCCUGGUAGUCCACACAGUAAA